rnacentral:lncRNA from 1 species
ACUUCAAAAAAGCGUGCCCUUCUUUGCGCUUUGUGCUUUGAAGCGAGGCGAGCCCUUGUCGCUUAUUUGCGCUUUGCGCUCUCCAAAACACUGCUCCUAGCAAAACUUUACUCCGCUAAUGCUGCCACAUCCAAUCAUGUGCAAUCAGGUACUGCCUUUGCUGUUCACCUUAAUUCUUGGAUUGUUGAUUCUAAUGCAAAUAGACACAUGACAGGCUCUUCUAAAAGCAUUCAAAACUAUUCUUCGAUUCCCAAAGCAGAUAAUGUUAAAAUAGUCAAUGCUUCUUUAACACCUAUCUCCGAAACAAGUUUUGUCGUUUGUACUCAUAAUAUAAAACGAUCAUAUGUUCUCCGUGUCCCCGAGUUCCUUGUCAAUCUUUUAUCUGUUAGUGCCAUCCCCAAAGCUCUAAAUUGUAAAAUCGAGUUCUUUCCCGAUCAUUAUAUUUUUCAGGAUCUUGAAACAGGGGAAAAGGAUUGGCAGUGGUAGAUUGCGUGAUGACUUGUAUAUAUUAGAUGGAAUUCAAAACUCUAGUCAAGCCUAUUUUGGGGAAAGCAAGGAUGUCAACCAAGAAAUAAUACUGUGGCAUUGACAAUGAGGACACCCAUCGUUCUUUGUUUUGAAGAAGUUAUAUCCCAAUUUGUUUUCAAGGACUCGAUUUGAAUCUUUGUUUUGUGAUGGGUGUGAAUAUUGCAAGCACACUAUAAACUCUUAUCUUGUGAGUGAUAAUAGAAGCACAACUCCGUUUAUGACUAUUCAUUCUAAUGUAUAGGGUCCUACCCAAAUUGUUUCUUUAUGUGGUAGUCGAUGGUUUGUUACUUUCAUUGAUUGCUGCACUAGAUGACUUGGGUAUAUUUGUUAAAAGCCAAAAGUGAAGUUUUCUCUCGUUUUCGCUCAUUUUAUAAGAUGAUGUGUACUCGUAUUGAUGCCAAAAUAAAAAUCUUGAGAAAUGACAAUGGCAGUGAAUACAUGGAUAAAAGAUUUGGUGCUUCUUUGGAGUCCAAUGGGAUAGUCCAUCAGAGUAGUUGUUCUUACACUAGUGCACAAAAUGGGGUCGCUGAAAGAAAAAAUAGGAAUCUGUUAGAAGUAGCAAGAUCUCUUAUGUUCACCAUGCAUCUACCAAAACCUUAUUGGGGAUGCUAUUCUAGCGGCUGCCUAUCUUAUCAACAAAAUGCCACUUAAACCCCUCAAGCUAUGGACCUCUUGAUGAAAUUGUCACAUGGGUAAACGAAAUUGGAGAAAAGAUUUCAAUGGGAGACUAUUGGGCGUUUGGAUAGGCCUGAUUUGAAAACUUACUCAAGGAGAACUAGAGUAGAACAAGCCAUCAUGCAAUCUAUCGAAGCUGAACCUUCUUCUACUGGUGAGUUAUCUACAUUUCCUAAUGAGUUAGAUGUGCCUAUUGCUCACAGAAAAGCACCCAGAUCUUGCACCACCAAACACCCUUUAUCUAAUUUUGUCAACUAUAAUUCUUUGUCUCCCUCCUAUAGAGCCUUUGCCUUGUCUAUUACUUCUGUGUAUAUUCCUAAGAAUUGGAGGGAAGCUUAGGCAGAUCAUAGAUGGAAGCAAGCUAUGAUUGAAGAAAUGAAGGCCUUGUCAAAAAGAGAGAUUUGGGAACUUGUCACUUCACCAACAAACAAAAAGUUGGUUGGCUGCGAAUGGGUCUUCACUGUAAAGCACAAAGCGGAUGGCUCAAUUGAAAGAUUCAAAGCAAAAUUGGUAGCUAAGAGAUUCACUCAGAUCUAUGGAGUGGAUUAUCAAGAGAAAUUUGCCCAUGUUGCUAAGAUGAACAUUAUUAGAAUUUUUUUGUCUUGUGCAGCUAAUCUUGAUCGGGACUUGCAACAGUUUGACGUAAAGAAUGCAUUUCUUCAUGAAGACUUAGAAGUAUGGAGUUUCCUCCUGAAUUUGAUAAUGCAUAGAGUCAAGGAAAGGUAUGCAGAUUGAAGAAAAUCUUGUACGGAGGGAAGCAAUCCCCCAGAGCUUAGUUUGACAGAUUUAGCAAAGCAAUGAUCUCCUUCGGUUACCGACAAAGUAAUGUUGAUCCCACCCUCUUCAUAAGACAUCAACAACAACAACAACAACAACAACAACAACAACAAGAACCCAGUAUAAUCCCACUUAGUGGGGUCUG